rnacentral:pre_miRNA from 1 species
UUUUUAAGAAACCGGCGGCAGUUAACUACCGAGGAAUUCCUCGGUAGUUAACUGCCGAGGAAAAU